rnacentral:rRNA from 1 species
GGUCAAGCGUUAAGAGCAUACGGUGGAUGCCUUGGCAUUAAGGGCCGAAGAAGGGCGUGGCAAGGCUGCGAAAAGCACCGGUGAGCUGUCUAGCAAGCCUAACCGGUGAUUCCCGAAUGGGGCAACCCGGCCAGGUAAACCCUGGUCACCCCCGGCUGAACACAUAGGCCGGGAGGAGGUAAGCGGGGGAAGUGAAACAUCUCAGUACC